UUAAGAAAUUAGGUGUAGUGUUUGGAAAAAGUGGGUGUGGUUCAAAGCACUAUAAACUGUGUUCAAACUUAACUCUCUAAAAUCUUAACUCUCAAGGGCCGGUCGUUCGAAAGCGGGUUAGCUCAACCCUGGGUUAACGUGAAGUUCAAAGCACACUUCCCAGCAGCUUGUUUAUAAACUUGGAAAUAUUUUUGCAGAGGUGUUGUCUAGAUCAUCAGAAGUUUAAAGUGGAAGUCAAGUCCGUAUGUAAACAAACGGUUUGUUUACAUUUUGAACUGCUGUAUUUUUUAAAAAUAUGAUGUACUGUCUGAAUAUCUAACACCAUUUGGUUCGCUAUGCUUCUAAAUG